rnacentral:tRNA from 1 species
GGUGGCGUAGCUCAGUCGGUAGAGCAAACGGCUCAUAUCCGUUUUGUCAGGGGUUCAAGUCCCUUCGCCACUACCA